rnacentral:rRNA from 1 species
UUAAGCUACAAAGAGCGUAGGGAGAAUGCCUAGGUACCAAGAGCCGAAGAAGGACGUGAUAAGCUGCGAAAAGCCACGGGGAGGAGCAAAUAUCCAUCGAGCCGUGGGUGUCCGAAUGAGGAAACUCAUACAGUAAAAAAAGACUGUAUAUCCAUACAUGAGUAAAGUAGUGUAUAGGAAGGGAACGUGGGGAACUGAAACAUCUUAGUACCCAUAGGAAAAGAAAGUAACAACGAUUCCUGAAGUAGUGGCGAGCGAAACAGGAAGAGCCCAAACCAUGGAUAGUAAUAUUUGUGGGGUUCGGAUUAUCAAUAAAGCCAAGAAUGAUGUUAGUAGAAUUACCAGGGAAGGUAAACCAAAGAAGGUGAAAGUCCUGUAUAUGAAAACAGAGUGAAGGCGAGAUAAAUCCAGAGUAGUGCGAGACACGAGAAAUCUCGUAUGAAAGAGCGGAGACCAUUCCGUAAGGCUAAAUACUACUUGGUAACCGAUAGAGAACAAGUACCGUGAGGGAACGGUGAAAAGGACCCCGGGAGGGGAGUGAAAGAGAACCUGAAACCCUAUGUUUACAAGCAGAUAGAGCGAUUUAAGGCGCGAUAUCGUACUUUUUGUAGAACGGUCCAGCGAGUUAUUGUAUAUGGCGAGGUUAAGUUCUGAAUAAGGAAUGGAGCCGAAGAGAAAUCGAGUCUGAAGAGGGCGAUAUAAGUCAUAUAUAAUAGACCCGAAACCGGGUGACCUAUCCAUGGUCAGGAUGAAGCUGAAGUAAAAUUCAGUGGAGGUCCGAACUGAUUGUCGUUAAAAAGGCACCGGAUGAACUGUGGAUAGCGGAGAAAUUCCAAUCGAACUCGGAGAUAGCUGGUUCUCCUCGAAAUAGCUUUAGGGCUAGCCUUGAGGUCAAAGAAUUAUGGGGGUAGAGCACUGAAUGAGGUAGGGGCCAAACCAGGUUACCAAACUCUAUCAAACUACGAAUACCAUAAUUAGAAUACUCAGGAGUCAGACUGCGGGAGCUAAGUUCCGUGGUCAAAAGGGAAAGAGCCCAGACCGACAAUUAAGGUCCCAAAGAUAUAGUUAAGUGGAAAACGAUGUGAAUUUGCAUAAACAACCAGGAUGUUGGCUCAGAAGCAGCCACUCAUUCAAAGAGUGCGUAACAGCUCACUGGUCGAGUGAAUUUGCGCGGAAAAUUACCGGGGCUAAACUAUACACCGAAAUUUCGGAUUUGUGAAUGUCUAAUAAUGUGUAUUAUUAAGAAAUAAAUUUUCUUUUGUCACGAAGUGACAAACAAAAUGAAAAAAUGAUAAAGAAUACACGAAAAGGAAAAUGAUGCAUAUUAUUAGACAUUUGCAAGUGGUAGAGGAGCAUUCUGUAGUAGGAAGAAGUCAAAGCGAGAGCAUUGGUGGACGAAGCAGAAGAGAGAAUGCUGGAAUAAGUAGCGAGAGCAAGGUGAGAAUCCUUGCCGUCGAAAGUCUAAGGUUUCCUGGGGAAGGUUCGUCCGCCCAGGGUAAGUCGGGGCCUAAGGAGAGGCCGAAAGGCGUAUCUGAUGGAUAGCAGGUGGAGAUUCCUGCACUAUAGCUAGUUUUAAAAGAUGCAAGGGACGCAGUAGAGGAAGAUAACCAAGGAAGAGGAAAAACUUGGUCCGCAAGGGAUAGUGAAAAUUAAUAGUAACGAAAUAUCAAGAAUCACACUGACGAGAAAAGCUUGUAGAUAUUAACUAGAAAUACCCGUACCGCAAACCGACACAGGUAGAUGAGGAGAGGAUCCUAAGACGAGCGGGAGAAGCAUUGUUAAGGAACUCGGCAAAAUAACCCCGUAACUUCGGGAGAAGGGGAGCCUAAGUAAAAUUAGGUCGCAGAGAAAAGGCCCAAGCAACUGUUUAACAAAAACACAGGUUUCUGCAAAAUCGAAAGAUGAAGUAUAGGAGCUGACGCCUGCCCAGUGCUGGAAGGUUAAGGGAAAGAGUUAGGUGUAAACCGAAGCUUAGAACUAAAGCCCCAGUGAACGGCGGCCGUAACUAUAACGGUCCUAAGGUAGCGAAAUUCCUUGUCAGGUAAG